AAAUACCGAUGAAAGUACGGAAGCAAUGACGAGCAGUGGGAGUUUAUACCUAUGCUGUAACUCCUCUGCUGAAUCAGAUGACAGAACUUUACCUAGCAUAUUUACUUCUGUUUUAAUGUAUUAAACUACGGACGGCAUUCCUGAAUGACAGCAUAAAGCUACAAGUGCCAUGCGCUCCAAUUCCCAUCGACCUCCCAGUGAAAGGGUUUGCCUUAGUAAACAGAAGAGAGGAAGGACAUUAAUUCAUUGUGCCUUCCGGUGCCUACAUGAGAUGCAGAGGAAAUAUCUGGACAAACGCAAAGAAAAGAUAUCCCUCCAAAAUAAACCAUGAGACUUUACAAGAUCACUUGGUAUAAAAGGAGAGCUAAGAGGAAUCUGGACAUGUUCUAAACACAUGGAAAGAAAGACAGCGCUUGAGUACCCCGAUGCUUAAAUCUUGUGACAUAAAGCAGGCAGCAGUACCGUAAUUUCAAAAAAAAUGCUAUGAUCUUAAAAUAUAGUACAGUCAUGCAUGUUAAUUGGACACAGUAUAGAAAACCUAUGCAGCAGAUAGUCUCUGCAAUCAUACCGCAAGAUCUGGCUUACCAGAACUGAUGAAGACUCUACGGAAGUUACUCUGACCCGAAGCGAAUCGCAGAGAUCUUUGAUCCACGGCCAGAGGAAAAUCCACAAAAACAAUCAUUAAAUGCAUCACCAUUCGUCUCAGGAAAUACCUGCAAAAUAAAAGAUAACUUAGAAUUUCUGGACCUGGCAAUGAAUGAACAAAGCAAGGGUUGCAGACAAAAGGGUGAGGUGUGUACCACGUGGGGAGCAGGCACAACGCGCCCUUCUAAUGUUGGGAAUCAUGGAACAGUAGUACAAGAUCAAAGGAAGAGGUAGAAGAAACAGUCAAGAUGGCAGAGGGUACGGAAACCCGAAUAAGUGCCUUACCAUGCUGCAAAUCGCUAUUUAUUCUCUCUCUCCAUCUGUCGGUCUAUUACUGGACUAAUGAGAUACUGGGGCAAUUAAAGCCUACCACGACCUUGUUCUGGAUUUAAGCCUGAUUUUUAGGAACUGUGUAGCAAAUGGAUGACCAGCUGGUCUGACUACUCACAAUUCACAUUCCCCUCUGUAGUGUUGGCUAUCCCUACUAGAUUUGCAGUACUUUUGUCGCUCUUCCUUUCUGUUUAUUUUGCAUCCCUUUGAUAGCUCAGGCUGCUAGGUUUAAUUUGCCAACUACGGAUUGUCCGAGUCUAUCAACUCAUUCCAAAAGUCAGCAACUCAGUUAGCUAUCUCUGCUACUACCACGUGAGACUGCACAGCGAUGCCUGGGGAAGGCACAGAAGGUGACUAGCCAGUGCUGUAGAAAGAUGUGGAACACAAAGACAACUCGCCAAGCCACAGAUACGCAUGACUUUAUGCCAAAUGUGACUCGAUGAUCACCACAGCAACACACAGAUGUCAAAUGAAGGUCUGCUUAACAUGUUGGAACCGGUGGAAUAAUUUUAUUUUAAUGAUGGAUAGGCAUUUGAUGCUACUAUUAAUGUUUGCCUCCGAAGAAAAUUCAUGUGUCAAACUCAGCCUUGUGGUACUGUUAUGAAUUUUGUUGCACCUGAAAGGAAGAAGAGUACCAGUCCAAUACAAAGCCACGAGGUAUUGCCAAUGUGAUUUGCAAAAUUAUAUCAUGCCU
rnacentral:lncRNA from 7 species